rnacentral:rRNA from 1 species
AGAGUUUGAUCCUGGCUCAGAUUGAACGCUGGCGGCAUGCCUUACACAUGCAAGUCGAACGGCAGCACGGGAGCAAUCCUGGUGGCGAGUGGCGAACGGGUGAGUAAUAUAUCGGAACGUGCCCAGUCGUGGGGGAUAACGUAGCGAAAGCUACGCUAAUACCGCAUACGAUCUAUGGAUGAAAGCGGGGGAUCGCAAGACCUCGCGCGAUUGGAGCGGCCGAUAUCAGAUUAGCUAGUUGGUGGGGUAAAAGCCCACCA